rnacentral:lncRNA from 1 species
AGGAAAUCAACUUCCAAAGGAAAUUUGAGGAGAUGGGAGUGCAACUAGGGCUUUGGAUCUCAACCAAAUAUCUGAUUGGAGGGUCCAUAUUGCAUCAAAAACUGGAGAAAAACGAUGAAGAAUUGGCUGCAGCACGGAGGCACACGACUUGUCAUAUGGGAGGGACGGUCCAGAUUGUUUGACAACAUCAGAUAAACGACUGAAAACAAACCAAGUCAGCACGACCCGUUUGACAAACACGCGGAUCAUCAAACUAGUCGGCUUUUUAUGUGGGUAAUUAACGUUGUGCCACGUUAGUGUACAGUCAAGG